GAUCUUGCGAGAGGACGAGUCUCCUUCCUGGGGUGAAGAUCUCGGGAGAGGACGGGUCUCCUGCUCAGGGUGAAGAUCUCACGAGAGGAUGGGUCUCCUGUGUGGGGGGAAGAGCCACACACAGAGAAGCCCAGGACCCUGUGCAUAGAGCAACAGCUUUCAGAUGAUGAGCUUUGAUUAACGGAGGCAUUCAUCAAUGCACAGAGGCAAACCCAGUGUCCUCAGUAUCCAGACCCUGAAAGCUGAAAGAAGGAAUGAAAAACCUGCCUCUGGAAGUGGCAUUGGCAAGGUAUGACCACAAGGAAAGCAGCAUGAGAUGCUCCACUUCCCUGCUUCAACCAUGCUGAGACCUGACUCAUUGCUGGACUAGAGAAAAUCAAGGGCUGGCUUCACUGUCCAGGAGCUGUGCCAUCAGAGUUCCAAGCUGAAUUUAAUGCCCUCGUGUUGACAUCUUGAUGUUUGAACAUGGGGCCCUCUAUUUUCAUUUUGCACGGGGUCCAGUGGAUUAUAUAGUCAAUGCUGCAGGUAUGAUUUUGCUUUAGGAUUUGUCAGGCUGAUUUGAGUUUGUGAUCUCUGUGUGUGUCUCACCUGGGCAAAAUGGACAAGGAGGAAAUCCCUGAGCCAGGAAACUGAGAGCAGAGCCGAAUAUCCCAGAAUUCAAGGGGGAAAGCAGCAGGAGAGGUUGCUGGCUUGAUAUACGACAGAUUUUAAGUGUGCAUUUGAAUACUGAAUACAUCAUCAACUCUUCCUCUGUGUCUGUCCAUUUACAGUCCAUCCAUGCUUCCAUCCAUUC